rnacentral:rRNA from 1 species
AUACGUAGGGUGCAAGCGUUAAUCGGAAUUACUGGGCGUAAAGCGUGCGCAGGCGGUUUUGUAAGACAGAGGUGAAAUCCCCGGGCUCCACCUGGGAACUGCCUUUUUGACUGCAAGGCUAGAGUACGGCAGAGGGGGAUGGAAUUCCGCGUGUAGCAGUGAAAGGCGUUGAUAUGCGGGGGAACACCGAUGGCGAAGGCAAUCCCCUGGGCCUGUACUGACGCUCAUGCACGAAAGCGUGGGGAGCAAACAGGAUUAGAUACCCUGGUAGUCCACGCCCUAAACGAUGUCAACUGGUUGUUGGGUCUUCAUUGACUCAGUAACGAAGCUAACGCGUGAAUUUGACUGCCUGGGGAGUACGGCCUCAAGGUUGAAACUCAAAGGAAUUGACGGGG